CGGGGGGAGCAAGCGUUGUUCGGAUUUACUGGGCGUAAAGGGCGCGUAGGCGGCCACCGCAAGUCGACUGUGAAAUCUCUGGGCUUAACCCAGAACGGUCAGCCGAUACUGCGGGGCUAGAGUGCAGAAGGGGCAACUGGAAUUCUCGGUGUAGCGGUGAAAUGCGUAGAUAUCGAGAGGAACACCUGCGGCGAAGGCGGGUCGCUGGGCUGACACUGACGCUGAGGCGCGAAAGCUAGGGGAGCGAACGGGAUUAGAUACCCCGGUAGUCCUAGCCUUAAACGAUGAAUGCUUGGUGUCUGGGGUUUUAUAGUCCCCGGGUGCCGUCGCUAACGCUUUAAGCAUUCCGCCUGGGGAGUACGGUCGCAAGACUG
rnacentral:rRNA from 1 species